GAAACCGCUGUGCUGUGGGCGCAGCGCCGAGAUUGAUUCACCUUCACCUGUGCUGCACUCCAGCUGACCCAAGUAGGAAGCCAGACGAGCUGUAAAACAUGAACGGAAGAGUGGAUUAUUUGGUCACUGAGGAAGAGAUCAAUCUUACCAGAGGGCCCUCAGGUAAAUGGCCAAGACCUAAAGAACCUGCUGCACCAGGAUGCUGUAGACCUCUUUCGUAAUGCAGGCUAUGCUGUGUCUCUGAGAGUGCAGCACAGGUUACAGGUGCAGAAUGGACCUAUAGGACAUCGAGGUGAAGGGGACCCAAGUGGUAUUCCCAUAUUUAUGGUGCUGGUGCCAGUGUUUGCCCUCACCAUGGUAGCAGCCUGGGCUUUCAUGAGAUACCGGCAACAACUUUGAAAAACUUGCUCUCUUUCAAUACUCCCAAUGAAGAUACAUUUCACUCACCCUCCACCCCUGCUAUUCUGCCAUGUCUUUCCCUCUCUCUGCAUAGCCAGAUUUGAAGUGACUGAUACCCACCCCAAACCUUGCUGUUCACAGUCUCCAAUUCUUCAUAUUCUAAUGGGAAAGUAAAGGUAUUGUUUGAAGGAAAACUGAAGAAAAGACUUGGCUUAGAACAAAUGAGGAGUUAUAUAUUUUACUAGGACUUUUGAUAGAAAUUCAGCUACAACCCAAAGAGAGAAAGAUUGAGUCUUCCUGUCACCAUAGGCAAUACCUUUUUUCUUAGCUGGCAUGCCAUAAAGGCCAGCUAUGUGAUAUUAGAGGAAGAAAGGAUUUUUCUUUUUAAUGAUCUUCCUUGGGAAAUUAUUGUGGCCUUUAUUUAAUUUCUAACUACGUACCUGGGUGCCUAUAUCGACAAAGAGUGAGAAGAGCAUUUUUACUUUUUUAAAAAAGCAAAUACA
rnacentral:lncRNA from 1 species